UGGCAUGGGCGCAAGCCUGAUGCAGCGACGCCGCGUGAGGGAUGAAGGCCUUCGGGUUGUAAACCUCUUUUGUAGGGAAGAAGCCGGCCUUUUUGCGGUUGGUGACGGCUACCUGAGAAUAAGCCCCGGCUAACUACGUGCCAGCAGCCGCGGUAAUACG
rnacentral:rRNA from 1 species